rnacentral:rRNA from 1 species
CUCUUGACCUCGGAUCAGGUAGGGAUACCCGCUGAACUUAAGCAUAUCAAUAAGCGGAGGAAAAGAAACCAACAGGGAUUGCCCUAGUAACGGCGAGUGAAGCGGCAACAGCUCAAAUUUGAAAUCUGGCGUCUUCGGCGUCCGAGUUGUAAUUUGCAGAGGGCGCUUUGGCAUUGGCAGCGGUCCAAGUUCCUUGGAACAGGACGUCACAGAGGGUGAGAAUCCCGUACGUGGUCGCUAGCCUUUACCGUGUAAAGCCCCUUCGACGAGUCGAGUUGUUUGGGAAUGCAGCUCUAAAUGGGAGGUAAAUUUCUUCUAAAGCUAAAUACUGGCCAGAGACCGAUAGCGCACAAGUAGAGUGAUCGAAAGAUGAAAAGCACUUUGGAAAGAGAGUUAAAAAGCACGUGAAAUUGUUGAAAGGGAAGCGCUUGCAGCCAGACUUGCCUGUAGUUGCUCAUCUGGGUUUUUACCCAGUGCACUCUUCUACGGGCAGGCCAGCAUCAGUUUGGGCGGUUGGAUAAAGGUCUCUGUCAUGUACCUCUCUUCGGGGAGAACUUAUAGGGGAGACGACAUGCAACCAGCCUGGACUGAGGUCCGCGCAUCUGCUAGGAUGCUGGCGUAAUGGCUGUAAGCGGCCCGUCUUGAAACACGGACCAAGGAGUCUAACAUCUAUGCGAGUGUUUGGGUGUCAAGCCCGAGCGCGUAAUGAAAGUGAACGGAGGUGGGAACCUUUCGGGGUGCACCAUCGACCGAUCCUGAUGUCUUCGGAUGGAUUUGAGUAAGAGCAUAGCUGUUGGGACCCGAAAGAUGGUGAACUAUGCUUGAAUAGGGUGAAGCCAGAGGAAACUCUGGUGGAGGCUCGCAGCGGUUCUGACGUGCAAAUCGAUCGUCAAAUUUGGGCAUAGGGGCGAAAGACUAAUCGAACUAUCUAGUAGCUGGUUCCUGCCGAAGUUUCCCUCAGGAUAGCAGUAACGUUUUCAGUUUUAUGA